rnacentral:lncRNA from 1 species
AUGUCAGGGUCUUCAUUUGGUCUGCCGCUUCUCCUCGAAUCUCCUCCACUGCUUCCUCCUGACCGAUUCCUACCUAUCCUUCUCGUCUUAGUCGGGAAACACAUCCUCUGGGAAGUCUUCCAUGACCGUUUAACACCUAGCAUCUGCCUCCGUGGCAUUCCUCUAGAUCAACUAGCAGUGAAAGCGAGUUGCAGUUCCUCCAUGUCCUCGCCAACACUUUCGGCAACUUUAAAAGAAUCCUUUCUUCGAAUAAAAGCUUAUGUGGAUUGGGAGGCCGAGACGGGCGGAUCACGAGGUCAGGAGAUCGAGACCAUCCUGGCUAACACGGUGAAACCCCGUCUCUAUUAAGAAAUACAAAAAACUAGCCGGGCGAGGUGGCGGGCGCCUGUAGUCCCAGCUACUCGGGAGGCUGAGGCCGGAGAAUGGCGUAAACCCGGGAGGCGGAGCUUGCAGUGAGCUGAGAUCCGGCCACUGCAGUCCAGCCUGGGUGACAGAGAGAAAAAAACUAUGAAAAAAAAAAAAAAAAAGCUUAUGUGGAAACGUAAUACCUGUAGUAGAUCAAUAUGGUUAAGUGGAAGCUGGAGGCCCUUGGACCUUGUCUUUUCUCUCCUUCUGCAUUUAUUUUUUUCAUCUCCUUACCCACCACCUCACACGCCCCUGCUCAAUCCCUUGUUAAAGGUCUUAUAGCAUAAAAAUCACUAGUGCUAGCCUAAGGUAGACGUUAUUCUGGGAAUUCACUACAAGGACAAGAUUUGUCUCACCUGACAAAUAGUUGUGUUCAUUUUGAUAUAACCCAGAUUUGUAAUACAAUGUAUUUCUCUUCUUGCCUUGGUUGAGAGGAAAUUCAGAUAAAUUAGGUGCUCAAAAUGCAGUAUUUCUUGACUAUUAUUUCCAAACAUAGCUAAAAAUGACUGUCUCUCACUUUUUUUUUUUUGCAACCAAAGAUAUAGAGGAUUGAAUUUAUUAUAUUUCCCAGUUUCAGGUACAUUACCAUUACUGGUUCAGACAAGGCCCCUCUGUUGUAAACAUAAAGGUUUGCAUGCAUAUGUUUAUUUGUUUAAUCCUCCUUUAUCCCUAAACUCUAUUUUUAUUCCUCACUAUUUCCCCUACCCUGUAGGCAGCCAUAUUGUAAUGGAUUUAAUAUAUGUUAACCUCUGUUCCUGAAACUGUGUUUUUUUUUUUUUAAUGGA